rnacentral:lncRNA from 1 species
CCUUAACGAGCUUUCGACCAACGACUCCCAAGCCAUUAAGACUUUAGGGCGCUAGGUGUAGAGACAAUCCCCUCGGGCUUACUUACUCAAGUAACAAAGGCCACAAAACUAGACAAGCAUGCCACGGUUUUUUAUUUUUUUAUUUUUUUUCAAAGCUUAUAUACUCCACAUAUUUUUUGCCCAACUUGAAUUUAUGUCUAAAUUCAGUCAUCACUGGCUAUUCAAAUUAUUCCUUCAUUUCACUAGCAUUCAUCCUUUAGAAGUCUAUUAUCUAUCCAUUUAAACUUUCUUAGCCAACAUGGUAAUUUUUCAAAAUGUGCUAUCCUGAUAAUAUCAGUGUCAAACAGAUAAAGAUUUAAAUUAUGUCAAGAAAAUCACAUCACUCACUAGCUUAACAAUCCGUACUAGACUUGUUCAUGCAAUUUUAAUUUC